rnacentral:lncRNA from 1 species
CCCUGAGUCGUAUCAAUCAUGUGGAGUGCAAAGGAAGGCAAGCAGCAGAUGAUAGAAAUGAGAGGCAUCGAGAAACAACCUUGCAGUAGUAGUUUUCUUUCGAGCUUGGCUUAAAUUAUCCGAUCCCCAAGAAAUUUUAGCUCGCUCUCAAGCUAAGCAGCUGGGGUAUGAGAAUAUGGGCACGUUUCUUAUUCCACAAACUUCGUCCCGAAACGCGGGACAGGAAUAUCAUAGGACAUCAUUCCCAAAUGCAAUGGAACGCGAAUCGUAUCCAGAAGCAACAAGAGGAAUGUUGAGUACCAAACGCCUGUGGAACGUGACUCGCAGCCAUAGCGAUUCGGGGACAUACGAAGCUUAGGCGCGGAAGAAAACGCACCUCAAAAGAAGAUGAUGAUGAAUUGAUGUGAGAGGGCUAUGAGUAUCUAUUUUAACAAGCAUGUAGUCAUAUAAUCAUGUUCAUGUAGUACACCAGUGCACUUUUGCUUAAAUGGACAUAUUUGCUAGUAAUACUUACUCCAUCUAUUAUUGUUUGAUUUAGAUCAAAUCAUACAUGUAACAUUUGCCUAAUCUAUAUCUCCUAUAUAAAGAUAAACCCCAC